rnacentral:lncRNA from 1 species
UUGUAUGUAAUGUAAUUUUGUUCUUCUAUAAACCCAUGAAAGUCUUUGCCUAUUACAAACCAAACAGACUAAUAAUGCAGGAUCCAUUGACAAUGUUUGCCUAAAAACUAACUCCUUGUCGUUUUUAUCACGGAAAAUUGCACCUUAAAAUAAAAGCAAAACAAAUUACAGAUUUUCCCAGAAAGAAGCUUACAAUUGACCCUUGGAUAUGAGAAAUCUUGGGCUACUCGGGCGUCUCUCCUUGUUGAGGUGUUCUACAGUUUCCAAUGUGCAGCUAGAUACUUCAGAUAUCCAUAACUACAAACACAAAUACACAGUUUUUCAAUACAUGAAAGGUAGGUUCGUCAACUUCUCUAGUAAACCCUCCAAUCCAAAGAGAAAGGAACAUGACAGUUUGUAGCACAAUGCAUGAUAGAACAGAUUUUUCCACCAGGGAUUCGACCGAGCAAAACAGAGUUGCAAGAUUCCAGCCCUGGACGAAAGGUAGGUUCCUCCCCUUAAAUGUUUUCCAAUUUACCUUUGAAAGUUAGUAAAUUUCCCCUUGCCAAUAAAAAAAGAAGUUAGCACAUUUCCCUGCACCAAGGCAUAUUCAAUCCAAAUCAUAACUUCGCCUCUCUCAUCCAUGCCCUUCUCACUCUAUCAGCUCUCCUCAAAACCCCAAAAAGCAAAAACAAAAAUACCACUUUCAAUUCUAGAAAAAGAAAAGAAAAACAUAACAUUUGUUCAUGCAAAAAGUACUUGAUUCCAUAAACCAACAGUUGAAAAGUACUAUAUUCGGGCCACACAGGUUUCAAAGCAAGAUUUGUUGAGACGGAAACAAGGUGUAUGGCACGAUGCAGGCAUGAGUUUCUACCUUAAUCCCAACUCUGCCUAUAGGUCAAACAUAACACCAAAACAACAUAGUAAAAAAUAUACAAAAUAAAUUCCAACUUUCAACAUAUCAUAGUACAAAGCUUGCAACUAUCAUCUAUAAAUUGUAACAGAAGAUUGUUUUACCCAAUUCCAUUAAGGAAGACUUGGACACCAAGUUUUCUUCGUGCUCUGUAGAAAGACUUGGUAAAUACUCUAUGGUGUCCAAUAGACAGUUUCAAUUUGAUUGUUUCAUCUAUAAACUGAAGGUACUCGACAGUCCAUUAAGAAAGACUUGGUAAAUACUCUUGGUAAAUACUCUCAUCGAACAAGAAAAAUGACAAGGGUUCAACACUUUUAAGAUUCAAUUAAAUCCCACACUACUAAUCGAGAAAAUCUCCAUGAUCCCACAUUAAAUCCAGUAUGUUUCAAAUUACUUGAAGGUUAUAUCAAUUACAGACAAGAAAUGGGUUGACAUGCCAAACCAACAAAAGUUAUACACACAUGCCGACAUUAGAGAACAGGGUAUGUCAUAACAAUAUUGGUACUGAAACUGAUGCUUAAGACGUUAAUAUUUGUCAACGGUUAUCACAGCAUUCAAAGAAUAUGCUAAAAAAUGUAGGAACAAAAUCUGAAAAGUCCUGCAUGUUUGCAUCAACUACAUGGUGCAACAGAGAGGGCAUUCCUUCAUUUCCUUCUUCUUUGUUCUGUUUCAAUUAAGUUGUUACGAUGCAAAUAAUAUCCGCUACAUUACAUUCAUGAAAGAAGAAUUCUAUAGCAAUCAUUCUAAACGUGACAUUUUAUUGAAUAUUACACCUUUUCUUAGUCAUAGAUUUGCCAAAGACCCAGCUAUAUAGGAUGAUCCAAAGAAUCUGUUUUGUCUUCUCUUAUUCACCUUGUCACCCUUCAAUAUUUGCCUCUCCAGAUAGAGCGCUGCAUUGGGUUUUGAAUUUUCCACCUACCCUGAUGUUCAACUAUCAAAUAGGAAAAACAGUUCACAAAGAACUCCACCAGCACGAGGCAGAGGUUGACGGAGAGGCCAAAACAGAAGUCCACCAAGUUCAGCCCUCGAUCCGACCAAUGAGCUUAAUCAUGAGGAUUGCGGAGUAUCAUCUGCUAAUAAGGACUCUGGUUCAUCUUUCUUUCCCCUUCUGUUCUCAAAACCAACCAAUGUCAUUAGCGUGUCGAUAUAUAAGACGGAAAGCUGACCCUGCAAUGGCAUUGCAAAUACUGGUGGUUAAGGACAGCACUCGAUUUGCUGAUAAGUAUAUAAAAUAAAAAUGGAUCAGCAUGGUCAAUUUCCAGAAAAUCGUAUAACAGAGUACUGAAAUUGAAACCACUUAAGAUAAGCAAAGCGCUACGUUUGACAGAAAAAAUUAGAAUUGCUUCAACGUAGACCACAUAUUACCUCGAACAGAUACCAAGCAUUGCCUAUCUACGUACACCAUAAACACCUAUAUUUUCUUUGCAACUAUAUAUAAUAAAACAUACAGGUAUAAACAUCAUGCAAGAGCUGAAUUGUCCUCCCCUGUUCUGUAUGUAAGUAGGUAUAUCAAUUUGCCUUUCACAACGGAACCAAAUUUUCUAUGAAAAUCUUAAAGUUGUGUUAUGCUUUUAAAACGUUCUUGGGCACCACUUGUAUGUAAUGUAAUUUUGUUCUUCUAUAAACCCAAGAAAGUCUUAGCCUAUUACAAACCAAACAAACUAAUCAUAAGUAUAUCAUUGCAAUGCAGGAUCAAUUCACAACGUUUGCCUAAAAACUAACUCUGCAUAUAGGUCAAAUAUAACACCAAAACAACUUAGCAAAAAAUAUACAAAAUAAAUUCCAGCUUUCAACAUAUCAUAGUACAAAGCUUGCAACUAUCAUCUAUAAAUUGUAACAAAAGAUUGUUUCACCUGAUUCCUAUGAUACUCGACAGUCCAUUAAGAAAGACUUGGUAAAUACCUAUAAUUGUAAUUCUAAUCAAACAUAGUAUAG